AGUCGUAACAAGGUCUCCGUUGGUGAACCAGCGGAGGGAUCAUUACCGAAGUUACCCUUCAAAACCCAUUGUGAACCUUACCUCUUGCCGCGCGUUGCCUCGGCGGGGAGGCGGGGCUCGGGUUCGGCGCGCCCCUCACCGGGCCGCCGUCCCCGUCCCCGUCCCCGCCGGCCGCGCCAAACUCUAAAUUUGAAAAAGCGUACUGCACGUUCUGAUUCAAAACAAAAAACAAGUCAAAACUUUUAACAACGGAUCUCUUGGUUCUGGCAUCGAUGAAGAACGCAGCGAAAUGCGAUAAGUAAUGUGAAUUGCAGAAUUCAGUGAAUCAUCGAAUCUUUGAACGCACAUUGCGCCCGGCAGCAAUCUGCCGGGCAUGCCUGUCCGAGCGUCAUUUCUUCCCUCGAGCGCGGCUAGCCCUACGGGGCCUGCCGUCGCCCGGUGUUGGGGCUCUACGGGUGGGGCUCGUCCCCCCCGCAGUCCCCGAAAUGUAGUGGCGGUCCAGCCGCGGCGCCCCCUGCGUAGUAGAUCCUACAUCUCGCAUCGGGUCCCGGCGAAGGCCAGCCGUCGAACCUUUUAUUUUCAUGGUU
rnacentral:misc_RNA from 1 species